rnacentral:rRNA from 1 species
UGGGGAAUCUUGGACAAUGGGCGCAAGCCUGAUCCAGCCAUGCCGCGUGGAUGAUGAAGGCCUUAGGGUUGUAAAAUCCUUUUGUUGGGGACGAUAAUGACGGUACCCAAAGAAGAAGCUCCGGCUAACUUCGUGCCAGCAGCCGCGGUAAUACGAAGGGGGCUAGCGUUGUUCGGAUUUACUGGGCGUAAAGCGCGUGUAGGCGGAUUUGUAAGUUGGGGGUGAAAUCCCGAGGCUCAACCUCGGAACUGCCUCCAAAACUACAAGUCUGGACCUAAGUAGAGGCAAGUGGAAUUGCGAGUGUAGAGGUGAAAUUCGUAGAUAUUCGCAGGAACACCAGUGGCGAAGGCGGUCUACCAGAACACGUUCGACGGUGAGGGAUGAAAGCUGGGGGAGCAAACCGGAUUAGAUACCCGCGUAGUCCCUGAGCGGGCUGGCAAGGCGCAU